CGUGUGGGCGUGGGCGUGGGCGUCGGCUUGGGAGCCGCCGGGGAGGCGGUGGCUGCUGGCGGCUGGCCAGGGGGAAGAGGGCGAGGGAAAAAUUUGUUCUGACAAGAAGAAGUUGGGAAAUAAAAAUCGAGUAAGAGUCAGCAGUGCUUGGCGACGCAAGCUGUUUUUAUUGAACAUCUCUGCGUGGCAAGAUCCUGACGACAUAGCAAUGAUACAUCUGUCAAGAGAAGACAAAGAUAAGUAACAUCCGUAAAUAAAAAUAGCAAAUGAUCUAUAAGCAGAAGUCCCCGUGGGAAUCCUUAUAAUAGAGGGUGCAGUUUGAUGGAGGGCAUAAGGAGUAGAAGCGGUUGUAAUUUAUGAGGUGUUGAAGAGAAAACCUGGAGCCAGGACAGGCUUGGGUUUGGAAUUCACCUGAGGGCUGGGUGGGACGAAGUGGUGAGGGCACAGAGGAGACAGACUUUGCUAAACCUGGCUAUGUCCGGGACACAUCUAAGGAUAUACGGGGACAUUUGUUCUUUAUUUGUGUGUGAAAAGAAACAGGCAGAGGGUACAAGCCUGAAAGAGAGGACACAAGGGUAAGCCUUGGGUGUGUUUUUAGUGCUCAGGUGGCCAUCUGUGCUGUGUAUGGGGUGGCACGGAGCUGUAGGAAGCGUUUGGCCCACUGGAAGGGUGUUCCAUGGACAGGUAACUCAGGUGCCCCAGGGUCCAUUGAAGAGGACACCCAGCCUGGGUGAAGACAGCUAGCGGAGCUGGAAGGGCCCUCCAGACUGGGGAGAUGGCAUGCGCUGAGGCACAGGGGUGAGCAACAGCUGGAAGUGAGGAUGCCCAGAGGCGUGCAAAGGUUGGGUGAGGGCUCCCACGUCAUGUGGGAAUUCAGAUGGCAAACGCCAGUCUUCCAUCAACUGCAUGACUUCUCUGAGCACAACCCUGAGAGGUCACUCUUCUUCCUGAUCACAAGCCCAGGGUGGGCUUCAGGAAAGAAAUCUCAUGCAAAAUAUGAGCACUGGCAGUGAGAGAUGCAUCACUGAUGCGGGUGAAGGGGCCAGAGGCCCUGCCGGGUGCAGAUGGCCCAGCUUUGCCUGGAUGUGGGGGAACAUAGAGGACUGACUAUAAUCCUUGAAUGCUAAGAAAGGGUUUUUAAUGAAUCCUUGUGAACAAAGGCUAGAAAUGGGCAGUUGAUGGUAAAUGGGGUAAAUGGUAAUGGGCUAAUAAGCACAAGGAAAAUUACCUGACCACAAUUUCUUAGGCCUUAGGAAAAGAGAGAGGCAUACUAAAGUUUCUUGCUUGUGGAAUGUACACAUAUUAAAAAAACAAAAACAAAAACAAAAAGCAGUAUGUCUUUCUAGAGGAGUGGUGUCGAUUAUGUAAUUCUGGAAACAAGGAGUGAGAGAGGUACCUUCUGACCCAAUUCCACCUACAGGACUUUAACUUCACUGAAGAAUCAGGUAUUGUUUGCUGCCUUCAGGAAGAGAAACUGGGUCAUUGCAAGCCAAGGAAGGGAAAGCAAUUUUUCACUCCAAUAAGUCCUAUGAAUGUAUUACCUCUUCAGAAAGUACAACAUUUUGGAGGCCCCAGCGAGAUAUGGAGCCCACCUCUGGGAAGACCUCGCUCCAAUCAUUCCAGAUUGGUGCUCUGGCUAUAGGGGAGGCGCCUGCUGAUGAUGUUCCAGGGUCCCAUGUCCUGAUUCACUGACCUGGGAGGCUCCGAUUGACCUCUUCACUGACCAGUUAGCCUUAGGUCCUCUGUUUUAAUUGGUGACUGCCGUUUUCUAUCUGGGUCCAGGAAGCUCUCUUCUCAUUCCUAGCUCUGACUCUAUUACAGUUCUUCCAAGUUAUGGGAUGAUUCCAUGUGCUAACUUAUAUUUAAAGAUUUUAUUUCCAUUUUAGUGACAAAUAAACAUCAAUUUUCUGUCCUACUUAUGUUCUCUGUCUCUCCUUAAAUUCUGAUUGUUGAAAAACAGCUGUGUUUUUAUUAAAAGAAUCAUGGUUUGGUUAAAUAUAUACUCAUUCUAAAACAUUUAAAUGAUCACUUUGUGACACGAAUAAAAUCGAUCUAUAUCAAUACUACUCAUACAAAUGUCCAAAAGCUACAAAAGUCAAAUGAUUUGGUUGUGUUAUUCGUCACAAUGCUUGUCUUAAUGAAAAAAACAUUGUUGUUUCUGUGUUUAAAUGUUUCCUCUUUUAGGUUUCAAAGGACUUUUUUUUUCCUACCUUUAUUGUAUUCAGUACUUUGGUAUGGCUCUACAAAUAGAUAAAGCCAAAGUUUAACAGGUUCCAACUAAAAAAAGUGUGGUUAAUUCAGGUUACUAAAAACAGAAAUCAAUUCUAAAUAAUUGAUAAUUAAAAAAACCAGUUAAAGAUCUUAAAAAGCUGUUACUAAGACUGCUUUAUU